rnacentral:rRNA from 1 species
UACAGAGGUCCCAAGCGUUGUUCGGAUUUACUGGGCGUAAAGGGCGCGUAGGCGGCCACCGCAAGUCGACUGUGAAAUCUCCGGGCUUAACCCGGAAAGGUCAGCCGAUACUGCGGGGCUAGAGUGCAGAAGGGGCAACUGGAAUUCUCGGUGUAGCGGUGAAAUGCGUAGAUAUCGAGAGGAACACCUGCGGCGAAGGCGGGUUGCUGGGCUGACACUGACGCUGAUGCGCGAAAGCGUGGGGAGCAAACAGG